AAAAAGGCAAACCCUGGGUUUCCGUGUCCAACUUUGACUGUCCGUCUUAUAUGAAAUUUUUUUAUAAUUCGUAUUUUCAUUGUUGUUAGAUCAUAUUGUUGUUAUCAUAAAACAUGAUUAAUAUUUUAGGCGUGACUUAUCUUUUUAAUUUUUUCAUAUUUUUUUUAAAUAAGACGGACGAUCAAACGUUAAGCACGGAAACCAGGGUUUGUCUUUUU
rfam:Oryza rufipogon genomic scaffold, chr03